CAACCACUGAGCCACACCAGCUGGGCAACACAUCUUUGCUCUUGAUGAGCCUUUCCAAGUCUCAGCCUUCUCUUGAUUUCUUGAAUGCAGUCUCUGAAUGGAUGGCUGAAUAAAAGUCAGCCAGUGGAGAACCAGAAAAGAUGGACAGUGAUUGUGGAUUUUUCUGUAGAGUAAUAUGCAAACCACAAACCUCAGUUAAAAACAUCUCACUCUUGGGGUGGUAAACACACAAUACAAUACAUAGAUGAGGUAUGAUAGAAUUGUACACCGGAAAUCUAUAUAAUUUCAUUAACAAAUGUCACCCCAAUAAAUUCAAUAAAAAAGAAAAACAUCAU